CGGACGGGUGAGUAACGUGUGGGUAACCUGCCUUGUACAGGGGGAUAACAGUUGGAAACGGCUGCUAAUACCGCAUAAGCGCACGGCAUCGCAUGAUGCAGUGUGAAAAACUCCGGUGGUAUAAGAUGGACCCGCGUUGGAUUAGCUAGUUGGUGAGGUAACGGCCCACCAAGGCGACGAUCCAUAGCCGACCUGAGAGGGUGACCGGCCACAUUGGGACUGAGACACGGCCCAA
rnacentral:rRNA from 1 species